AGAGUUUGAUCCUGGCUCAGGAUGAACGCUAGCUACAGGCCUAACACAUGCAAGUCGAGGGGCAGCAUGGUCUUAGCUUGCUAAGGCCGAUGGCGACCGGCGCACGGGUGAGUAACACGUAUCCAACCUGCCGUCUACUCUUAGACAGCCUUCUGAAAGGAAGAUUAAUACAAGAUGGCAUCAUGAGUCCGCAUGUUCACAUGAUUAAAGGUAUUCCGGUAGACGAUGGGGAUGCGUUCCAUUAGAUAGUAGGCGGGGUAACGGCCCACCUAGUCUUCGAUGGAUAGGGGUUCUGAGAGGAAGGUCCCCCACAUUGGAACUGAGACACGGUCCAAACUCCUACGGGAGGCAGCAGUGAGGAAUAUUGGUCAAUGGGCGAGAGCCUGAACCAGCCAAGUAGCGUGAAGGAUGACUGCCCUAUGGGUUGUAAACUUCUUUUAUAAAGGAAUAAAGUCGGGUAUGUAUACCCGUUUGCAUGUACUUUAUGAAUAAGGAUCGGCUAACUCCGUGCCAGCAGCCGCGGUAAUACGGAGGAUCCGAGCGUUAUCCGGAUUUAUUGGGUUUAAAGGGAGCGUAGAUGGAUGUUUAAGUCAGUUGUGAAAGUUUGCGGCUCAACCGUAAAAUUGCAGUUGAUACUGGAUAUCUUGAGUGCAGUUGAGGCAGGCGGAAUUCGUGGUGUAGCGGUGAAAUGCUUAGAUAUCACGAAGAACUCCGAUUGCGAAGGCAGCCUGCUAAGCUGCAACUGACAUUGAGGCUCGAAAGUGUGGGUAUCAAACAGGAUUAGAUACCCUGGUAGUCCACACGGUAAACGAUGA
rnacentral:rRNA from 1 species